rfam:Nitrospira sp. SCN 59-13 ABS70_C0053, whole genome shotgun sequence.
GGGGGCGACCGGUUUCGACGGGGAUAUUGACGCCAUCGUCGCAUGUCGAGAUCUCGGGAACUCGUAAAAUUCCGGGAAAAACGCAACUGCCAACCAAGAACUGGCACUCGCAGCCUAAUUUAGGCUGAGACGUCGUUCCAUCUGAGGUCCGCGGGGGUGGAAUGGCGCGAUGCAGCGGACUGGUCCCACGCCGGUGCUCAGCGGCGGGGGGCGAGACAAUACUGGGCUAGCGGUGAUUCUAAGCCGGCCGAUAGGCGUGGGUCGCUGCGAAGCUUAAAGAAUCGGCUACACAUGUAGACGCGAUGUGCCGACGAUCUUCGGACAGGGGUUCAACUCCCCUCGCCUCCACCA